AUACGUAGGGCGCGAGCGUUGUCCGGAAUUAUUGGGCGUAAAGAGCUCGUAGGCGGCUUGUCGCGUCUGCUGUGAAAUCCUGGGGCUUAACUCUGGGCGUGCAGUGGGUACGGGCAGGCUAGAGUGCGGUAGGGGUGAUUGGAAUUCCUGGUGUAGCGGUGGAAUGCGCAGAUAUCAGGAGGAACACCGAUGGCGAAGGCAGGUCACUGGGCCGUUACUGACGCUGAGGAGCGAAAGCAUGGGGAGC
rnacentral:rRNA from 1 species